CGGACUGGAAUGGGACUA
rnacentral:miRNA from 1 species